UACGUAGGGUGCGAGCGUUGUCCGGAAUCACUGGGCGUAAAGAGCUCGUAGGCGGUUUGUCGCGUCUGCCGUGAAAGUCCGGGGCUCAACUUCGGAUCUGCGGUGGGUACGGGCAGACUAGAGUGAUGUAGGGGAGACUGGAAUUCCUGGUGUAGCGGUGAAAUGCGCAGAUAUCAGGAGGAACACCGAUGGCGAAGGCAGGUCUCUGGGCAUUAACUGACGCUGAGGAGCGAAAGCAUGGGGAGCGAACAGG
rnacentral:rRNA from 1 species